rnacentral:rRNA from 1 species
UUUGGGAUAACACCGGGAAACCGGUGCUAAUACCGAAUAUUGAAACAUAAGUGGCAUCACUGAGUUUUGAAAGAAUUUCGGUGGAGGAUGACUUCGCGGCCUAUCAGCUAGUUGGUGAGGUAAUGGCUCACCAAGGCAACGACGGGUAGCCGGCCUGAGAGGGCGACCGGCCACACUGGGACUGAGACACGGCCCAGACUCCUACGGGAGGCAGCAGUGGGGAAUAUUGGGCAAUGGAGGAAACUCUGACCCAGUGACGCCGCGUGCGGGAUGAAGGCCUUCGGGUUGUAAACCGCUUUCAGUAGGGAAGAAGCGAAAGUGACGGUACCUACAAAAGAAGCACCGGCUAACUAUGUGCCAGCAGCCGCGGUAAUACAUAGGGUGCAAGCGUUGUCCGGAAUUAUUGGGCGUAAAGAGCUCGUAGGUCGUUUGUUACGUCGGAUGUGAAAACCUGAGGCUCAACCUCAGGCCUGCAUUCGAUACGGGCAAACUAGAGUUUGGUAGGGGAGACUGGAAUUCCUGGUGUAGCGGUGGAAUGCGCAGAUAUCAGGAGGAACACCAAUGGCGAAGGCAGGUCUCUGGGCCAAUACUGACACUGAGGAGCGAAAGUCUGGGGAGCGAACAGGAUUAGAUACCCUGGUAGUCCAGACCGUAAACGGUGGGCACUAGUUGUGGGAACCUUCCACGGUUUCUGCGACGCAGCUAACGCAUUAAGUGCCCCGCCUGGGGAGUACGAUCGCAAGAUUAAAACUCAAAGGAAUUGACGGGGCCCCGCACAAGCAGCGGAGCAUGCGGCUUAAUUCGACGCAACGCGAAGAACCUUACCCAAGGCUUGACAUAUAGGGAAAAGUGGCAGAGAUGUCAUGUCCGCAAGGGCUCUAUACAGGUGGUGCAUGGUUGUCGUCACCUCGUG